UCGUGAGAGCGCAAGAUCGCUGUAGUGUCUGAGAAGAAAAUAUCAAUUCAGAUGACAAACAACAGGAACAAAUGAAUGUGCUUAGGGAUUAAGUGUAAUAGCACAAGCAGCAAUCUUUGGUCCUGUCUUGUGUAUCUGUUUGGUUGCCCGUCUCUGCCCACAUGUCGGCAGAGUGAUUGCCUUCCAGUCUGCUGUGCGCUGGUUCUCUCACCUCACUACGCUUCAACUGAGGAUUCCUCACGAAUCUACUCCUGACUACCACGAUGCACACACUCGCCUAAGAACACAAUAUUCACGGAGUCCUCACGGAUCUACCCACUGCGCGGCCAUGGCACGCAUGCAUCCACAAGCUUCUGCCCCCUGCUACUGCAGCCGGUGCUCUCCAUUCUUCACCAGCACAGUUUAAGUUGCUACUUAUUGUUAAUAAAUCUUUGAACUGUUCCUCUGCUCUUGGGUCUCUCUCUGUCUCACUCUCGCUCUGUGACAGAACAAUCUAGCCAAGUAUGUACCCAGCAGUGGAAUCUACUCUUCGCUCCACACUGUCUCAGCAGGGAGCUUUACUGGGACGUCAGCAGGAUCAAAUCUCCGCAUCUAACCUGGCUCUGGAGAUGAUGCCGUCGCAGCUCACUGAGCUCAUCCAUGUCGUUCAACGACUCCACCAACCUCCCGAUGCUGGUCUAACUCUGGCUCCGUUGGUCCUGUCUCAUGUAUCGGUUUGGUUGCCCAUCCCUGCCUGCAUGUUGAGAGAGUGAUUGCCUUCCAGUCUGCUGUGCGCUGGUUCUCUGCACCUCACUAUGCUUCAGCGGAGGAUUCCUCACGAUUCUGCUCCUGAAUACCACGACGUACACACUCGCCUACAAAUACACUAUUCAUGGAGUCCUCAUGGAUCUGCCCACUGCGCGGCCAUGGCGCGCAUGCAUCCACGAGCUUCUCCACCUGCUACUGCAGCCGGUACCAGCACAGUUUAAGUUGCUAUUUAUUGUUAAUAAAUCCUUUUAACUGUUCCUCUGCUCUUGGGUCUCUGUCUCACUCUCGCUCUGUGACAGCAAUGGCAUUUAGAUAUUUUUAGGUAUAAGUAACCAAUUACUUUUUGGGGCCACUGUAUGUAGCCAUUUAUGCUUUAUAAAGCUAAUUGAACUUUGGAAUUGGUCUGAGAUGUUUGUUGUUUAGCACUUAAUUCUAGCAUUUGUAGGGUGACAUUCCAUUGUUUUCAGAAAUUCAACUUUGUUUGGUACAGUAUAUUGCCUUGCUUGAUUAUAUUGUGAUUAUUUUAGUCUUUAUUUGCUUCAUGACAUUUAUGUGCUUAAAUUAUUAUUUCAUUUUCAUGAAAAUGUUCAAACUAAUCUGAUAUGUAGGAAAAAGCUUCAGUUAAAUCUUCUCAUGUUGAAUUCAAUGCACAUUAUGAUGA